GACAUGCCAAGGUUAGCUAUUAUGUGACAAACUUCACUUGUCAAGUGAGGUAACUUUCAAAGUUACCUCACUUGACAAGUGAGGUAACUUUGUCACAUAAUAGCUUGUACCUUGGCAUGUC